ACCAGUUUGGACCAUGGAAACUGGAGACUUCUGCAUACUUCAAGGCGAAAAAAUCUGAGAUGUAAUCCCUAUUUCAUGAGAUCAUCUCUCUGUAACAUCUGGAUACAUGUUUGAAUUGUGGCUGAUCGUCUUUCUUAAUUUCUUUUUUCUUCUUGUGGUGAUUAGGGUUCUAUGAUACACUUUCUUUCUUUAUUCCUUUGUUCCUUUUUUGUGAUGAGUACUGCUGCUAAGUUAUAUUAUCUUCAUGUUUUCUUCUAAUGAUUUUUAGCUGGGAAUUGAUUUGAGAAUUUUGCAUUACAGAACAUAAAUUUUGGAUUCCUCCAUAGCAGAAUGUGCGGUAUGAUUAAAUGUUAGUGCUGCCCAGAGUUUUUGGUCUGUGAACUGUGAGGGCCUUGAAUUGUUUCAUUCAACUACCUGGUGAUGAUUUACUUGAGCCUUUUGUUUUUAUUGUUUUUAUUUAUUGGAUAAAACAAAGAGUUCCAUUGUUGUUGAUCCAAGGGUACUGGUAGGUCAUCUCAGCAUAUAUUUCUUAUGCCCACAUACAACACUACACAGAUUCAUAUACAAAAUAUCUAGGGUUUUGCAUUUCCAAAUGAAUUGACCCCAACUAGAACCAAAAACAAAUCUCUGCACCCCAAAAUCCUUGGAGACGCGAGAUCAAUUUGUAGUAAUGGAGCCAGAAUAUGAAAAACAAUAUUAGAAGGUGGGACUGAUCUGGACUUUCCUUCCAAUAAUCUCAUAUUUCCUUUCCCACUUCCCCCUCAACUGUUCAAAAUGAAGUAAUAUCUAUGUGAUCCUAUACCUUUGCCAAGAAAAGAUCAGCAUUUUUACAUCCUCUGCCUUAAUUUUUAUCUUGGCUUGACAAGGCUGAGAUGAUCUGGUUUGUCAAAAGCAUUUCACACUCCAAAGUUUCAGAAUGUUUCUUUGUUAGAGGGGGGGGGGGGUUGAAAAGGGUUUCUGUAGGUUAUGUUUCUUUAUCUUAGCUAUUCACCCUUUGCUGAAAGCAAUAAGAAUAUCAGAAUGUGAUAGUGAGUGGGAAACAGAGGUCGUUGCAGAGAAGGAUGAUGAUAUUAAAGAGGAAGCAAUAAGCAUAGUUGUUGUCAUUGUUGUGUGAAUACUAUAAAGAACUGCAUCUUUGUUGUCCAUCAAAUUGGGUCCUCUCCUCCCUGCAACCCCAUCUCUUAGCCUAGUGCUCAUGGGUUGGUACAUGACAUUUGAUAUUCUAUAUUGUUAGUGUGGAGGACACAACCUUAUGGGCAACUCCAGCAAUGAAGAAAAGGUCGUAAUAGCAACUGCAUUUCACCACAAUCAGCAACAUCAUAUACCAAGAGAACCAUGCCGUUCAAUGCUCACCGGUUCAAUGUAUGUAGAUCGAGUGCUCAGUGGAUCUAAUGAUCAUUGUUAUGAGAGUUUUCGGAUGGAUAAACAUAUCUUCCAUAAGUUGUGUGACCUCCUACAAGCCAAAAAUUUGCUGAGACAGUCAAGUGGAAUUAGGAUUCAGGAACAGUUGGCUAUAUUCUUAUUCAUAAUUGGCCAGUCAACCAAGUACAACAGUUCAGGAUCUAUUUCUACACAAUGAGGAAACUAUUAGUUCCUGUUUCAAAGAUGUGUUGAAAGCAUUCAUAGCUUUAGGCCCUUUUCGACCUCAUGGGUCUGGUAUCCCCAUAGAGAUCCUGCACAAUCCUAAAUUCUAUCCAUAUUUCAAGAAUUGCUUAGGAGUAAUACAUAUGAUUCAAGUCCUAGCCAUGGUUGCUGUCAAACCACAAAGCGCAUGGUAUGAUCGGAGUGGGAAAGCUUCACAAAGGGUUAUGGUAGCCUGUUCAUUUGACUUGCGAUUCCAUUAUGUCCUCGCCGGCUGGGAAGGCUCAGCAGCAGAUGCAAGGAUCUUGAAAUCAGCACGCUCUAAUGACCAUGGGAAGAAGAACCCAUUUAAAGUCCCUGAAAGUACUGUACAUCUCUUAUAUCUAACCACAAGCUUUUGUUGACAUCAAAGUGACCCAUCAUCUAUUUAUUGAGGUAGGUAAAUAUUAUCUUGUUGAUGGAAGGCAUGGGAACAUGCCAGGUUUCAUCGGCCCCUAUCGUGGUGGUGGUGUUCGCCGUCUCUGUGAUUUUCGCCUCUCUGAUUCUCCAGAUGACCAUCCUCCAAGAAAUGCCAAAGAACUCUUCAAUCACCGAUUAUGGCUGGCUAAGAAAUGCUACUGAAAGUAAUAUUAAGGUCUUGAAAGAACGCUUCCCUAUUUUGAAUUCUGCACCUCCUUACCCAAUAGAUACACAGUCAAGACUGGUUUUAGUGGUUUGUGCCAUACAUAAUUACAUAGAAAAGGAAAAGAGGAACCAACUUCUUAACAAAGAGGUGAUUCUGAAGCAAAAUAAGCCAUUAUGGAGUUUAAGGCUCAACCAUCAGCAGCUGCUUCUAAACAAGCAACUGCCUUUCAACUGAGGGAUUCAAUUGCAACUGCCAUGUGGAAUGAUCAUAUGGGUACUUGACCUAGUUUUAGAUUUUAGAACUGUUUUUGCUGCCCUUAAUGCUUAGGGUUUGGAACUGCAUUUUUUGUUAUUAAGGUUAGUGCAGUUCAUACUUUUGCAUGUAAAGCAUGUCUUUUGAAUUUCCAGAAUAUGGUUGUACAAUGUACUUAGAAUACUUGGGCUAUGAAAAUGCAAUUCUAGUUUGGGUGUUUGAAUUUCAAAUUGGAAUUAAUUCUUACUUUUUAGGUUAAUGAAAUCAUGCACCUUGUUCAUGUA